GACGAACGCUGGCGGCGUGCUUAACACAUGCGAGUCGAGCGGUAAGGCCUUUCGGGGUACACGAGCGGCGAACGGGUGAGUAACACGUGGGUGAUCUGCCCUGCACUUCGGGAUAAGCCUGGGAAACUGGGUCUAAUACCGGAUAUGACCUCCUAUCGCAUGGUGGGUGGUGGAAAGAUUUAUCGGUGCAGGAUGGGCCCGCGGCCUAUCAGCUUGUUGGUGGGGUAAUGGCCUACCAAGGCGACGACGGGUAGCCGACCUGAGAGGGUGACCGGCCACACUGGGACUGAGACACGGCCCAGACUCCUACGGGAGGCAGCAGUGGGGAAUAUUGCACAAUGGGCGAAAGCCUGAUGCAGCGACGCCGCGUGAGGGAUGACGGCCUUCGGGUUGUAAACCUUUUUCAGCAGGGACGAAGCGCAAGUGACGGUACCUGCAGAAGAAGCACCGGCUAACUACGUG
rnacentral:rRNA from 1 species